UACGUAGGGUGCAAGCGUUAAUCGGAAUUACUGGGCGUAAAGCGUGCGCAGGCGGCUUUGCAAGACAGAUGUGAAAUCCCCGGGCUUAACCUGGGAACUGCAUUUGUGACUGCAUGGCUGGAGUGCGGCAGAGGGGGAUGGAAUUCCGCGUGUAGCAGUGAAAUGCGUAGAUAUGCGGAGGAACACCGAUGGCGAAGGCAAUCCCCUGGGCCUGCACUGACGCUCAUGCACGAAGCGUGGGGAGCAAACAGG
rnacentral:rRNA from 1 species